AAACCACACACGCUUCUACCUUGUAGAAGACUUGCAGACAGGGACGGGGAACCCACCUGCCCACCGCGGGCACCGGAGGUAACUCCUUGGGGUGAAGCCGAAGUUCUCCUUCGGCAGGGCACAUCCUCCGCCCUAACCCGACAGCUAACCUCGACGGCGACAGAUGAGAGGACAU
rnacentral:sRNA from 2 species